rnacentral:lncRNA from 1 species
CUCCUGUAUCACUAGCUUGAAUAACACUGGGGCUGUGAGUUUGAUAUCCUACACAUGGUCAACAAAACAAGAUGGCAAAACACAGAGUUUAAAUGUUUCCUUCUAAUGUCUCAGAAUAGUUGCAAUUAUAAGGUGACCUUUUGUAACUGUAACAAGGUGAGCUAAAAAUAGAUGGAACGAAAAGACAAUAUAGUAUAAUCAACU